GACAGAGGGUGCAAACGUUGUUCGGAAUUACUGGGCGUAAAGCGCACGUAGGCGGCUUUGUAAGUUAGAGGUGAAAGCCCGGGGCUCAACUCCGGAAUUGCCUUUAAGACUGCAUCGCUAGAAUUGUGGAGAGGUAAGUGGAAUUCCAGGUGUAGUGGUGAAAUACGUAGAUAUCUGGAGGAACACCGGCGGCGAAGGCGGCUCACUGGCCAUAUACUGACGCUGAAACACGAAAGCGUGGGGAUCAAACAGG
rnacentral:rRNA from 1 species